rnacentral:rRNA from 1 species
AUUGAACGCUGGCGGCAUGCCUAACACAUGCAAGUCGAACGGCAGCACAGCAUGUAGCAAUACAUGUGGGUGGCGAGUGGCGGACGGGUGAGUAACGCGUGGGAAUCUGCCCUAUAGUGGGGGACAACCCGACGAAAGUCGGGCUAAUACCGCAUACGCCCUACGGGGAAAGGCUUCGGCCGCUAUUGGAUGAGCCCGCGUCGGAUUAGCUAGUUGGUGAGGUAAUGGCUCACCAAGGCGACGAUCCGUAGCUGGUCUGAGAGGACGAUCAGCCGCACUGGGACUGAGACACGGCCCAGACUCCUACGGGAGGCAGCAGUGGGGAAUAUUGCACAAUGGGCGAAAGCCUGAUGCAGCAAUGCCGCGUGUGUGAAGAAGGCCUGCGGUUGUAAAGCACUUUCGGUAGGGAAGAUUAUGACGGUACCUACAGAAGAGCACCGGCUAACUCCGUGCCAGC